GUAUAUGAUGAAAUAUGCACUGGGCUCUGAGGCAGUUGAAUCAUUCAACACUGCUUAAUUUGAUGGAAAUUGCAGCCUAGAAAGCUUGUCUGAUAC
rfam:Corchorus olitorius cultivar O-4 contig22447, whole genome shotgun sequence.